AGAUUUAUUAUGUCGUAAUCUAUGCCUAUAUGCCAUACCUAGUACGCCGGUAAGAAUUAAUUUUUUGGUCGUAUUAAAGCCCCCGGUACUGAACACGAGAAUGAGAGUUGAUGAGAGUUGACAGACAUGCACGAAUUGUCACAGGGGACAUUUUAAACUCUAGAUUAACAAAAUGAAGGUUUGACGAGUGUUCCAACUAUGUUUCAACAUAAAUAAAACAUACAUGACGGACUGAUAGUGUUCGGAAAGCAUUAAAAACAGCUGACCAAGCUCGCGCGACUGUCAACCCUCAUGCACUAUCAUCAUCGUUUGAUCCGGGGUUUAGAGUUAGUGAAUUGUAUUAAAAGACAGCGGAACAGUUGAAAUGACUUUCCAAAGGCCAAAGGACAUGCAUACUUAAUAUAAUAAUUACCUAUAUAUCCUAACAUGUAAAUGGUCU